rnacentral:misc_RNA from 1 species
GAAGAUUAAGGCUCUUGCGAGUACUGCGGUUUUCUAUGUGCCGUUUGUGAGGCAGAUAUGGACAUGGUUGGGGCUUGUCCCUGCGUCGAGAAGGAAUUUUUACGAGUACUUGGCGGCUGGGUAUAGUUGCAUCAUAGUGCCGGGUGGUGUGCAGGAGUUGUUGUACAUGGAAUGUGAUUCGGAGGUUGCUUUUCUUAAAUCAAGGAAAGGAUUUGUAAAGAUAGCCAUUGAGAUGGGUCAACCUCUUGUACCUGUAUUCUGCUUUGGUCAGAGUAAAGUGUACAAAUGGUGGAAGCCAAGUGGGAAAUUAUAUGUACGUAUUUCCAGAGCACUCAGGUUUACUCCCCUCGUCUUUUGGGGGAGAUAUGGAACUCCUAUACCAUUUCGACAACCCAUGCAUGUUGUGGUGGGGAAGCCCA